rnacentral:rRNA from 1 species
UGGAAUGAUGGUGACCCACACCCUCACCAGAGUAGCAAUUGGAGGGCAAGUCUGGUGCCAGCAGCCGCGGUAAUUCCAGCUCCAAUAGCGUAUAUUAAACUUGUUGCAGUUAAAAAGCUCGUAGUUGAAUUUUAGCGUGUUCGAGUUUGCCAUUCGUUUGGCUUUUUCGAGUUCGCUUUUGGGUUUUCCCUUUUUACUUUGAGAAAAUUAGAGUGUUUCAAGCAGACUUUUGUCUUGAAUACUUCAGCAUGGAAUAAUAGAGUAGGACUUUGGUUCUAUUUUGUUGGUUAUUGAACCUUAGUAAUGGUUAAUAGGAACGGUUGGGGGCAUUCGUAUUUAACUGUCAGAGGUGAAAUUCUUAGAUUUGUUAAAGACGAACUACUGCGAAAGCAUUUGCCAAGGACGUUUCCAUUAAUCAAGAACGAAAGUUAGGGGAUCGAAGACGAUCAGAUACCGUCGUAGUCCUAACCAUAAACCAUGCCGACUAGUGAUUGGAGGUCGUCGUUUUGCUGACCCCUUCAGGAACUUGAGAGAAACA